GAUGAACGCUGGCGGCGUGCCUAAUACAUGCAAGUCGAGCGAACAGACGAGGAGCUUGCUCCUCUGACGUUAGCGGCGGACGGGUGAGUAACACGUGGAUAACCUACCUAUAAGACUGGGAUAACUUCGGGAAACCGGAGCUAAUACCGGAUAAUAUAUUGAACCGCAUGGUUCAAUAGUGAAAGACGGUUUUGCUGUCACUUAUAGAUGGAUCCGCGCCGCAUUAGCUAGUUGGUAAGGUAACGGCUUACCAAGGCGACGAUGCGUAGCCGACCUGAGAGGGUGAUCGGCCACACUGGAACUGAGACACGGUCCAGACUCCUACGGGAGGCAGCAGUAGGGAAUCUUCCGCAAUGGGCGAAAUCUUGACGGAGCAACGCCGCGUGAGUGAUGAAGGUCUUCGGAUCGUAAAACUCUGUUAUUAGGGAAGAACAAAUGUGUAAGUAACUAUGCACGUCUUGACGGUACCUAAUCAGAAAGCCACGGCUAACUACGUG
rnacentral:rRNA from 1 species